AUGAAUCAGUGAGGCAAAUUUCUGGUAACAAGAAGUAAAACCCAUCAUACUUACAGGUGUUUGGCAUGAAAAGAUUAUCUGAGUGCGCCUUACAGAAGUGGCAUAGCCAUUCACUGAUAAGCUGGCACAGCUAGUCCUGUCCACAUGCCACCCAGCAAGUCCAUCUAAAAUAAGAUUAGGUGUUACAAAUCCUUGUUUUUAAAUAACACAGGGAUGUGGAAAAUUUCCACGGCACCACAUAAUCAAGGGGCCUAUAUGUGAGACAUAUGUCGCCGCCUAAAAAAAUGUAUGCUUCACCAGGUACAUUCACCAUCAGCAUAUUUCCACACUGCAGUUUCUACCACUUUUGCUCUUGUGAGCGUCGCUUGCCAGAACUGAGAUCAAUUUUAUUAGAUACCAUUAGUCUCUGUUAGGGCGGUCAUUUGAAUAACAACAGAUUGGCAAGUAUAAAACUAAGGCACCUGUUGUACAUUUGGCAGCCUGGAUGAGGCCCUUUAAAAUGAAAACAAAUACAAGCUAUAAUCAUGCCAGGCAAUGGCUUUUGGUUCAAUAAUGACCAUGUGUCAGAAUUAAGUGCAUCUGGGAAUUCCUACCCCAGCCAGAUGUAAAGGCAGAUUUGUCUUGUCUAGUGACAUAUGAGUAGAUACACACAGUAUACUCAGAUUUGGCUUUGUCAUGGCUUGGUAGAGAACUAGGUAAGUGGAAUUUAGCUCACGUAAAAUAAAAAUUAACUUCUAAUAGGCAAUUGAUAAUAUAAUCGUAAAUUGCAGGAUUAAAUAUUAAACAUACGGGUUAUAAGAUUUGGGCCACGAACUAAUCCAUCUCUUAUUUCUCUGCACACACUUGAUUUGUUCAUGGAAUAUUUCACAACAAUGUGCCAAUUAGGACUACGCUGAGCAAGGCCAUGGGCUAGGUGCUAGAGAUACUGCUAGGAACAAGACAUGGGUUUUAGCUUCAAAGAAUUUGUAAUCAGUCAGCCCAUAUAUAAGCAAUUGCAGUGCAUUAUGAUAUACGUUAUGUGUCUAAUUUAUUCAGUGCUUGUUCAGUGCAUAAAGCGUAUUCAGUCUUGGGAGAAGGGGAUGUCUUCCUGGAAGAGUUAUCAGCUAAGAUAAGACCUAAAGGAAGAGAUGACACGGACAAAAAUAGAAGGAGAAGGGACUUUACGCAUGGAAGAGAAAAGACAUGCUCAGAAUAACAGAUGGAAGAGUCAGAGUAGUGCAUCUGGGAAACAGCAAAUACUUUUGUGUGGCUGGAAUGUACACGCAUUGAGGGUGGGACAAAGGGAACAGAGAAAAUGAACAUAAGAAUGGCGAGGUGGCAAGAGACAAGGCAGAGGGAAAGAUAUCAAGGUGUCUUUUGCUGCAUAUUUCAAGGAAAUGUGGGACCACAGGAAUAUUUGGAGGAGAGAGAUGACUUGUUCAAAUAUGAGUUUCUUAAAGACCACACUGGCUGCAGAACAGAAAAGCAACUAUAGUGUGUUCCCAACUAAACACGGAGAGGCUGCAAAACAGGCAAAAGAUGAUGGGGACCUUGCCAACAGAUUUGGUUGAAAGGAAGUUAAUAUUAAUUUUGGUAUACUUGGGAUAACAAAUCCUUUAGGUAAAACAGAUUUUAAGUGACAAAUUUUAAAUCACAAUUAAAAUUAUGUAUUUCCUAACUUUUUAAUUAAAACUAAAUUAGAUCAGGAUCCCUGGGUGGCGCAGCGGUUUAGCGCCUGCCUUUGGCCCAGGGCGCGAUCCUGGAGACCCAGAAUCGAAUCCCACGUCAGGCUCCCGGUGCAUGGAGCCUGCUUCUCCAUCUGCCUGUGUCUCUGCCUCUCUCUCUCUCUCACUGUGUGCCUAUCAUAAAUAAAUAAAAAAAAUAAAAAAAAUAAAAAAAAAAAAAAACUAAAUUAGAUCAAGCUGAGUCAAGACAAUAGUAAAAUCAGACUCAAAUGCAUUUAGGAAAUCAUUUCUUAGGUAAUGCCUGAAUAUUCCUAAGAACAUUUACUGAACUUGUCAUUCUUAAUUUAUAACUGUUAUCAUCAAAAUACAUGUAUUAAGAUAGUAGCUGAGGAAGAACCUUCACUACACAUUAGCCAAAGAAAGUAGGAUCUCCUUUUCCAGGCUUCUCAGAGGUUGUAUUUAUAGAUUAACUCACAGGAAAACAUGGCUAAGCUAGAUAGUGUAUGAUUGCGAGAAGCACUUUAGAAGCCUGGGUAAAGAAGGCUUUAACUGUUGACAUUCUGUAAGACCCAUAAGAUACCAGAGCAUUUUCUAUGUAGCUUUAUUUUAUGUACCGUGUCUGACUUAAAACUUCAGGGUGCCUUGUUGCCAGAGAAAAAAUAAUUUUCCAAAUCAUCAAACAAAUGUAAAUCCUAUAUUGUAUUAUUUAUAAAAUCAUAAUUAAUCAGAAAUAGGCCUCCUAAGCCUCACGAGAAAAGAAAAAAGCUAAACCUUCAUAAAACAGAUUAAAUGGAGAAAAACUUAUCAAAUCAUCCCUUAUUGAUAAUGAAAUUAACCGGUAAGCAGUGAAAAUAGAGUAUUUUAGAAGAGACAUUAUAAUUGACAAAAUUUACCAGAUACAACUGUGUAGGGCAGGCUGCCAAUAAAUAGAAUGCAUACAUACAUAUAUAUAUAUCAGUCACUUGGCAUAAUUUCAUUCCUUUGAUGGGAGACUGCUCUUCAGAUAAUCCUGCUGGAUCCAUAUUUCUCUAUCUAAAAAUGUUUUGUUUCCUUACCUGUUGGGCAGUUAUGAAAAUGCCAGCCUUUGUGGUUUUUAAAAACUAUUCUUGGUAGAAAUAUUUUGUUUAACCACUUCUGUUCCAGAGCUCAGGCAGUUGUGUCACUGGCCUGAAAAGCAAAUAAUUUUGGAGCUGGAAGGCAAUGCCUCCAGUCCCAAUCAGAGAAAGGAGCAGACGAGGCUCAUCAUAAAUGAGGGAGGAAAAAUAAAUAAAUAAAUAAAUGAUGGAGGGACAACCUACACAAUGCCUAAGAUUCUUCCUGAAUUUGGGUCAAGAAAGCACCAUAUUGGUUUUACUUGCCUAGUAUACGUGAAAUAAAUGCUUAAAAAUCCCAUCAGACACAAGCAUAUACUGAGGGUUAAGACUAGAGUGGAUGAUCCUUGAAAUUGUAAUAUUGCUUGACUUAAAACCUCGGCUUUAAGUUCCUUCUUUACUAUUUCUAGCUAUGCAACCUUGGGCAAGUCACUCAACCCCUUGAUGAAUCCAUUUCCUCUGAAAUAAACUGGUGAUAAUAAAAGCAUUGAACUCAGACACAGUUACUUUAGAGAUUAAAUGUGGUACUGAAGAAAAAGUGCUAUGCUGAAUGUCCAGCACCUAGUAAGUACUCCAAAUUCUAGCAACCAUCACUCCUCUGCACUGACACAGACCACAGCUACUGUACUUCCAGUAUCACAAAAAUUAACAGAAACUUGGUUUUCACCUAUUUCGGAGUCCUGAGCAUCAUAAGUGGUUUCAAAUGAACUAUUAUUCUCCACAUUCAUGAUUUCAAUUAAAUUCAACUCAAACUAAAUUCAAAGAAAAGGGCAGAGUACUUGAGGUGAGAACUAGAAAAUGAGAGAAUAAUUAGAAGGAUUUCAAGGGAUGCAAGUUAGGACAGCUGGUAGAGAAAGAGGAUUCCAGAGACAGUGCUGUCAGAACCCGAGGUGCCGGGAGCAGUCUUCUCUCGGAUGGCAGGGACUCUGCACGCUGCAGGAGGAUGAGCACCUGCAUGAGCAUGAGCACCUGGAGUCCUGUGAGGGAGGCUGCCCACUGCACAGGUGAGGGCUCACCUGCAAAGUGCCUGACUCGCUGUGCUAGGACUCAGCACUUGAGUGUGCAGACUUGAGAAGGCUGGCGUUCCAGAGAGCAAAAGUUUUCAGGAAGAGCUAGGAGAGAAGCAUGAGAACACAGAGACCACCUAGGAAGCUAUGAAUGAUGUCC
rnacentral:lncRNA from 1 species